rnacentral:rRNA from 1 species
AUGAUGCCAUGCAACAUAUCGGAUCCGGUAGCUCAUGGAGAUACCGGUGCAAAGGAAGUGUGGCAGGAGCGUGCAAAAGAUGGUGGGGUGAUCCCUGAUUCCGGGUGUCCCACAGUCGAACUUGAGGGGUCUCAACAUCGUGGUACUUGGCACAAUCCGCAUAGUCGUGCACUUGUCAUCGAUGGGCUGGAGGGUCUUGACAAAAUGAAGGGGUACUUGGUGGAAACCACGACGUGUGCAGGAGGCAUACGACUCCAAACACCCACGGCCGUGCAGAAGACGACUGAGCUCCUAUUACAGGGAGGGUUCGUGGCCACGACAGGACGCAAAGGAGGGCGGCAGCUGGGCUGCGGCUGCGAUGCCCACCUGCACGAAGCAGGGGAGGCGAGCGAGCUGUCUGCCUCGUCAACUCUUGAUGAACAGGAGCAGCGGUGGCUGCAACAAAAGCUUGGUGCAUGGCCAGAGCUUGGCGUUGGUGAGGGACGGCGGGGAAGGCGCGAGGCUAGACCGGCCGAAGCUCGAAGUGUUGCUGAGGGGAACCGGAACCGACUGCCGGAGCCUUGA